UACGUAGGGGGCAAGCGUUGUCCGGAAUCAUUGGGCGUAAAGCGCGUGUAGGCGGCCCGGUAAGUCCGCUGUGAAAGUCCAGGGCUCAACCCUGGGAUGCCGGUGGAUACUGUCGGGCUCGAGUCCGGAAGAGGCGAGUGGAAUUCCUGGUGUAGCGGUGAAAUGCGCAGAUAUCGGGAGGAACACCAAUGGCGAAGGCAGCUCGCUGGGACGUGACUGACGCUGAGACGCGAAAGCGUGGGGAGCAAACAGG
rnacentral:rRNA from 1 species